rnacentral:piRNA from 1 species
UGCCUCUGGAUAUCUGUCCUUCAGUGUGU